rnacentral:rRNA from 1 species
AGUGAACGCUAGCGGCAGGCCUAAUACAUGCAAGUCGAACGGUGUCUUCGGACAUAGUGGCGCACGGGUGCGUAACACGUAUGCAACCUACCUUACAUUGGGGGAUAGCCUUUCGAAAGGGAGAUUAAUACCGCAUAAGACAGUAGCUGGGCAUCCAGCAGCUGUUAAAGAUUUAUCGAUGUAAGCUGGGCAUGCGUCCAAUUAGCUAGUUGGUGAGGUAACGGCUCACCAAGGCAAUGAUUGGUAGGGGAACUGAGAGGUCAAUCCCCCACACUGGCACUGAGAUACGGGCCAGAAUCCUACGGGAGGCAGCAGUAGGGAAUAUUGGGCAAUGGACGCAAGUCUGACCCAGCCAUGCCGCGUGCAGGAUGAAGGCGUUAUGCGUCGUAAACUGCUUUUAUACAGGAAGAAACGACUCUUGCGAGAGGCAUUGACGGUACUGUAUGAAUAAGCACCGGCUAACUCCGUGCCAGCCGCCGCAGUAAAAC